ensembl:lncRNA
UUUCCUUCCAUUUUUUCCCAAUGUCCCCAAUGUCCUCAGUGUCCCCAAUGUCCCCAAUCCCAUUUUCUCCCAAAUUUCCCUCAUUUUUCCCCAAUAUCCCCAAUGUCCCCAAUCCCAUUUUUUCCCUUUUUCCUCCCAUUUUUUCCCAAUGUCCCCAAAUAUCUCCAAGCCCCUCAAUGUCCCCAGUGUCCGAAAUGUCCCCAAGUUCUCAAUGUCCUCUUGACCCUCUGGAUGUCCCCAAUGUCCCCAAUCCCAUUUUUUCCCCAAUUUCCCCCAUUUUUUCCCAAUGUCCCUCAAUGUCCUCAAUGUCCCCAACAUCUCCAGUCCCAUUUUUUCCCUUUUUCCUCCCAUUUUUGCCCAAUGUCCCCAACAUCCCCAAUGUCCCCAGUCCCAUUUUUCCCAAAAUUUCCUCAUUUUCCCCCAACAUCCCCCAUGUCCCCAAUGUCCCCAACGUCCUCAAGUUCUCAAUGUCCUCUUGACCCUCUGGAUGUCCCCAAUGUCCCUCAAUGUCCCCAAUGUCCCCAGAUCCCAUUAUUUCCCAAAUUUUCCCCGUUUUUCUCCAAUGUCCCCAAUGUACCAAAUACCUCCAAUGUCCCCAAAUCCCCUCAAUGUCCCCAAUGUCCCAAAUGUCCCCAAUCCCAUUUUUCCCCCAAUUUCCCCCAUUUUUUCCCAAUGUCCCCAAUGUCCCCAAUGUCCUCAAUGUCCCCAAUCCCAUUUUUUCCCAAUUUCCCCCCAUUUUAUCCCAAUGUCCCCAAUGUCCUCAAGCUCCUCAAUGUCCCCAGUGUCCCCAAAUGUCCCCAAUCCCAUUUUUUCCCUUUUUCUUCCCAUUUUUUCCCAAUGUCCCCAAUGUCCCCAAUGUCUCCAGUCCCAUUUUUUCCCUUUUUCCUCCCAUUUUUUCCCAUUGUCCCCAAUGUCCCCAAUGCCUCCAAUGUCUCCAAACCCUCCAAUGUCCCCAAUCUCCCCAAUCUCCCCAGUCCCAUUUUUUCCCUUUUUCCUCCCAUUUUUCCCCAGUAUCCACAAUGUCCCCAGUGGCCCCAACAUCCUCAAGUUCUCAAUGUCCUCUUGACCCUCUGGAUGUCCCCAAUGUCCCCCAAUCCCAUUUCCCCCAUUUUUUCUCCAUUUUUCCCCCAAAUUUUCCCCAAUUUUCCCCAUUUUUUCUCGAUGUCCCCAGUGUCCCCAGUGGCCCCAACGUCCUCAAGUUCUCAAUGUCCUCUUGACCCUCUUGAUGUCCCCAAUGUCCCCAAAUCCCAUUUCCCCCAAUUUUUCUCCAUUUUUCUCCCAAAUUUUCCCCAAUUUUUCCCAUUUUUUCUCGAUGUCCCCAAUGUCCCCAGUGGCCCCAAUGUCUCCAGUCCCAUUUUUUCCCUUUUUCCUCCCAUUUUUUCCAAAUGUCCCCAAUGUCCCCAAUCUCCCCAAUGUCCCCAGUGUCCCCAAUGUCUCCAGUCCCAUUUUUUCCCUUUUUCCUCCCAUUUUUUCCCAUUUUCCCCAAUGUCCCCAAUGCCUCCAAUGUCCCUAAAUCCCCUCAAUGUCUCCAAUGUCCCCAAUCCCAUUUUCUCCCAAAUUUCCUCCAUUUUUUCCCAAUGUCCCAAGUGUCCCCAACCUCCUCAAGUUCUCAAUGUCCUCUUGACCCUCUGGAUGUCCCCAAUGUCCCCAAUGUCCCCAAAUCCCAUUUCCCCCAUUUUUUCUCCAUUUUUCCCCCAAAUUUUCCCCAAUUUUCCCCAUUUUUUCUCGAUGUCCCCAAUGUCCCCAGUGUCCCCAAUGUCUCCAGUCCCAUUUUUUCCCUUUUUCCUCCCAUUUUUUCCAA